rnacentral:rRNA from 1 species
AUGGCGACCACCACCAUACUGCUGCUGCUCAUCGUGCUGCCUUUGCUGGGUGCAGCGGCGUCGCCUCAGCGCGUGGCGCUGCCGGGGUGCCGGGACAGGUGCGGCAACAUCACCGUCCCCUACCCCUUUGGCAUCGGCGCCGGUUGCUACCGCGACGACGGCCAGCAGGGCUUCCAGCUCGAGUGCGACGUCUCCGGCCCCGGCAGCUCCCCGCCACGCCUCACCGUGUUCGGUUACAAUCACCGCCUGGGGCCCCUGUCCCUCGCGUCCGGCGAGGCCCGCGCCUACCUCAACGCGACGAGGGAGUGCUACAACUCCACCGGCGGGCUCCUUGACCGGAAAGGCACGUUCAUGUCCCUCGGCACCAGCCCUACCUCUUCUCGUCCACCAAGAACCGCCUGGUCGCGCUCGGCUGCCCCAACCUCAGCUUCUUCGUCGACGCCGCCGGCUACUACGUCAGCGGCUGCAUGUCCGUGUGCCGGCCGUCCCGGUACGCCCUGCCGGGCCCGUGCACCGGCGUCAGGUGCUGCCAGAGCGCGAUACCGCCCGGGAUCAGCUUCUUCGAGCCGCACCAGCGCAACUUCCCGCCGCAGCACGACGACAACUCCGCCUUCAUCAGCAACGCCACGUUGUGCCACUACGUGUUCCUCGUGGAUGCGGACUGGUUCACCUACAGCGACCGUGUCUUCCUCAACCGCACCGACGACUUCGACUGGGCCAUUCGUCUUUUUAUGCUUCGACGUCCCCAACGGCCCCGGGUACCGGUGCAACUGCUCCAGGGGCAACCCCUACCUCGACGGUGGAUGCACAGACAUCGACGAGUGCAAACUGAAAGGCGAAUAUCCGUGCUACGGGGUCUGCACAAACACAUAGGGAAGCUACACUUGCCAGUGCUCUCCCGGGAAAAGUGGAGAUGCCACCAGGACGGAUGGCAGCCGGCUACAGGAAUCUAAACUAAUGAUCGAGUAUGCGAUGUGUCAUGUCCAGGAGUCGGCGUGGGGGUGUUCUUGUCAGUGUUCAUGUGCUUCUGGCUCUACUUGGGGCUGCAGAAGAGAAAACUCACCAAGGCAAAGCAGAGCUUCUCCGAGCACAACGAAGGGAUCAUCCUGCAGCAGCAGAUGCGCUCCUACGGUGGCGCCGCCGGGGGAGGCGGUGGUGGGUUCAAGAUAUUCUCGGAAGAGAAGCUCAAGAAGGCGACCAACAACUUUGCCUCAGACCAGAUCCUCGGUCGCGGCGGCCACAACAUUGUCUACAGAGGUGUUCUCGAGGACAAGACCAUUGUGGCCAUCAAGAAGUCUAAAAUGAUGGAGGUCGCAGAGACAAAGGAGUUCGCGAGGGAGAUGCUCAUCCUUUCCCAGAUCAACCACUGGAAUGUCGUCAAGCUGCACGGCUGCUACCUCAAGGUAGAGGUGCCAAUGCUAGUCUAUGAGUACGUCUCCAACGACACUCUCUACCACUACAUCCAUGGCGGCGAGGGCCGUGACACCAACAAGGCACUCGACACCCGCCUGCAGAUAGCGACGGAGUCGACCGAGGCGCUGUCGUACAUGCACUCGUCGGCUCGCCACCGAUCCUCCAUGGCGAUGUCAAGAUGACCAACAUCUUGCUCGACCGCAGCCUCACCGCCAAAGUCUAUGACUUCGGGGCAUCGAAGCUAGCACCAAGUGACGAGGCUGAGAUUGUGACAUUGGUGAAAGGCACCUGCAGGUACCUGGACCCGGAGUACCUCAUGACAUGUCAGCUGACGGACAAGAGUGAUGUGUACAGUUUUGGUGUUGUUCUGCUCGAGCUCUUGACAGGGAAGAAGGUGCUCUGCUUCGAUGAGCCAGAGGAGGACAGGAGCCUCGUGUCCCGAUUCACGACGGCCAUGAAAGCAGGCCGGCACGGCGAGCUCCUUGAUGGUCGGGUGAGAUUGGAGAUGAGCCCGGAGGCGCUGGAAGAAGUAACGUACCUUGUGAUGCGCUGUGUGAGCAUGAUCAGAGAGGAGCAUCCGUCGAUGAAGGAAGUUGCAGAGAAAUUGGAAGCUCUGAGGAGGUAUCAAUGGAAACCAUGGGGUCAGGCCAGUGCUGAUCCGGAUGAGGGGCAAAGCUUGCUUGGUAGAGAGCAACAACGUGAUGUGAAUUAUAAGUUCAGACCGCAAGACGUGCUUGAUCUUGAAGAGGGUAGUACAUACACUUUUAGCUUGUAG